ensembl:lncRNA
GGUGUGUAUAGACAGUAGUUAUAUAGGAUGGUGUGUAUAGACAGUAGUUAUAUAGGAUGGUGUGUAUAGACAGUAGUUAUAUAGGAUGGUGUGUAUAGACAGUAGUUAUAUAGGAUGGUGUGUAUAGACAGUAGUUAUAUAGGAUGGUGUGUUUAGACAGUAGUUAUAUAGGAUGGUGUGUAUAGACAGUUAUGUUAAUGUAAAAUCUACCCUACAGUUGAUGUCUGAAGUUUACAUACAUUUAGGUUGGAGUCAUUAAAAAUUGUUUUUCAACCUCUCCACAAAUUUCUUGUUAACAAACUAUAGUUUUGGCAAGUCGGUUAGGACAUCUAGUUUGUGCAUGACACAAGUCAUUUUUCCAACAAUUGUUUACAGACAUAUUAUUUCACUUAUAAUUCACUGUAUCACAAUUCCAGUGGGUCAGAAGUUUACAUACACUAGGUUGACUGUCCCUUUAAACAGCUUGGAAAAUUCCAGAAAAUUAUGUCAUGGCUCUAGAAGCUUCUGAUAGGCUAAUUGACAUAAUUUGAGUCAAUCGGAGGUGAACCUGUGGAUGUAUUUCAAGGCCUACCUUCAAACUUAGCGCCUCUCGCUUGA